CAACUUAAGAAUCCUCUCAUCAUAACCUUGAAAGAGUUUCUACCAAAACUUGCAUCAGGUAUGUAGUUGUUACUAUGAUUAAUGGAUAUUUUCUUAGUAUAGUGGCUAUAGUAAUACUCGAUUAUCACUUAAUUGUACUGUUCCUAGCCUUUCCCUGAAAGCGUGAGGCUUUGUAAAGUUCUUGGGGGGUGGCAGAAUGUAAUUAGGCAGAAUAGUAAUUUGGUUGGGUAGCUUUAAUUUCUAACUAUUGUUUAUUGUUUUAAGAUAAUAGUGGUCAUAAUGUUUUAAUGAUCUUCUGGAAAUUAAUUGUAUAUAAGCAGUGUAUUAAAAAGUUAGAAAUAGUAUAAUGUUGUUCACUGGAACAAAGUCUAGAAUGGUAAUGAUUAAUAUCAGUGGCGGGGGCGGUGGAAUUAAGCCCUCGAAAACAGUAGUAGUAUAAGAAUUCUUGGACUUUUACUUAUUCCGUUAAGGGCUGGUUAUUAAGUUAAUGGAAAAGAUCAUUUAUUAAUGGUGUUAAAUUAAUAUAUAUGGUUUAGGCGUGAUUGGAUAAUAUCCCGAGAUGUAAAGGAAGUAGAUCAAAUUUUGUUACUUUUUAUAUAGUGGUGUGCAAUGAUUACAUAAUCAUUGCCUUAUGACAAUGAGAUGGCAAAGUCAUUACCAUUAUAUGUUAGGCCGCAAUUACUGUUUCGUGGAAUUUUAUAAAUUCUCCCUGAAUUCAAGUUCAGUUCUAUAUUUUAAUUUUUAUAUUUUGGACUACUACUUAGAAUGAGAUUAUUAUAGUAAUAUAGGUGUAAUUAAAUUUCUACUCUUUUUUGGAAUUUCGUCAAAUGACAGAUCUUAAUCAUUUGGAAGUUUUACGUAAGGGCAAGUUUAUAAAUUGACGUUUGGCUUCGGUUUGAGGCAAGUUGAGACUUUCCUUAGACUCUUUUUCAAAGUGCUUAUUUGUAUAUUUGUUAGUUAUGUGUAAUGGGAGCAAUGGGAAUUGGGGGUCCCGUAUAGGUGAUUGUGACGAGCAUCUAUGCACGCACCGGUGUUGUUUGAGGGGAUAAAAUAAGUUAAUUGUAUGUUUGCACUGUUUUGAGAAUACUCUUACUUGAUAAGUUGAGUUGAUUUUGAAAUUGAUGUCUGAUCUAACUUAAGACACGAAGUGCUUUACUUGACUUUAUUGUUGUUUGAGGAUCGAAGUAGCACGCCUGCACAUCAUGCAUUGCAUUUCAUAUGGGAUCGGAGUGCACGUCUGCACAGUAUUAUAUAUAUUUGCUGGGAUCGAAGUGCACGCCUGCACAGUAUUAUAUAUAUUUAUUAGGAUCGGAGUACACGCCUGCACAAUAUUAUAUAUAUUUAUUGGGGUCGGAGUGCACGCCUGGACAAUAUUAUAAAUAUUUAUUGGGAUCGAAGUGCACGCCUGCACAGUAUAUAUAUUGGGAUCGGAGUGCACGCCUGCACAGUAUAUUUAUUGGGAUCGAAGUGCACGCCUGCACAGUAUAUGCAUUUGCAUUGCAUUACAUCGCAUUAUAUGGAUUCAUUUGGUUCAGAUUGGUUAAAGUAUAUUUGUUGACCUUGUACUUAUUGUGUAUGAGUUAUUUAUUUCACUGGAUUGAGAAAUUUUUGGAUUGUGGUAUGAUAUCCUUAUGACUGUUCAACUUGACUAUUCAAUUAGAUUAAGGUGGUCUUCCGAGCGCAGGUUAUAUGUUGUGUUUAGAUGAUUUAUAUGGUGUCACUCGUCACCACUUUGAAUUAGGGUCGGUCAAUGAUGUUUGCUGAGUACACGUGAUUCCGUACUCACUCUUGCUUUUUUUUUCACCCUACGUGCAGGUACAGAUCUGACGACAUCUGGAUAUUGAUCCCCGUGGUUCCUUCUUUGCUAGUUUCAUCGGAGAUUCGAGGUAAUUGCUACUGGCUUUAGAGACUACGGAAAUCUCCUUCAGCCUUAUUCUUAUGCAUUUUUUUCGCAUUUUGAAAGACUCGAACUUUCUUUUGGUCCUAUAUUUUAGUGGCUUGUAUUAGUGACUUCCAGACCUGCGAUAUCUACGAAUUGAUGUUUCCAGUCUAUUUAUCUACAUUAUGAGAUUGUUUAGGAUUGAUUUCAUUCUUAUUUUCUUUCGCUUAUAUGAGUUUGAGAUGUUGUUCUUGAAAUUGGGUAUUUGGCUUACCUAUUACAGAGGAUGGAAUAGGUGCCAUCACGGUCCCGGAUUUGGG
rnacentral:lncRNA from 1 species